UACGUAGGGGGCAAGCGUUGUCCGGAUUUAUUGGGCGUAAAGAGCUCGUAGGCGGUUUGUCGCGUCGGCCGUGAAAUCUCCACGCUUAACGUGGAGCGUGCGGUCGAUACGGGCAGACUUGAGUUCGGUAGGGGAGACUGGAAUUCCUGGUGUAGCGGUGAAAUGCGCAGAUAUCAGGAGGAACACCGGUGGCGAAGGCGGGUCUCUGGGCCGAUACUGACGCUGAGGUGCGAAAGCGUGGGGAGCAAACAGG
rnacentral:rRNA from 1 species